rnacentral:rRNA from 1 species
GUGGGGAAUAUUGGACAAUGGGCGAAAGCCUGAUCCAGCCAUGCCGCGUGUGUGAAGAAGGUCUUCGGAUUGUAAAGCACUUUAAGUUGGGAGGAAGGGCAGUAAGUUAAUACCUUGCUGUUUUGACGUUACCGACAGAAUAAGCACCGGCUAACUUCGUGCCAGCAGCCGCGGUAAUACGAAGGGUGCAAGCGUUAAUCGGAAUUACUGGGCGUAAAGCGCGCGUAGGUGGUUUUGUAAGUUGGAGGUGAAAUCCCCGGGCUCAAACUGGGAACUGCCUCCAAAACUGCAUGACUAGAGUACGGUAGAGGGUAGUGGAAUUUCCUGUGUAGCGGUGAAAUGCGUAGAUAUAGGAAGGAACACCAGUGGCGAAGGCGACUACCUGGACUGAUACUGACACUGAGGUGCGAAAGCGUGGGGAGCAAACAGGAUUAGAUACCCUAGUAGUCC